GACGAACCGUACGAACGUUAUUCGGAAUCACUGGGCUUAAAGGGUGCGUAGGCGGCGCAGUAAGUUGGGUGUGAAAUCCCUCGGCUUAACCGAGGAAUUGCGCCCAAAACUACUGUGCUCGAGGGAGGUAGAGGUGAGCGGAACUUAGGGUGGAGCGGUGAAAUGCGCAGAUAUCAGGAGGAACACCGGUGGCGAAGGCGGGUCUCUGGGCCGAUACUGACGCUGAGGAGCGAAAGCGUGGGGAGCGAACAGG
rnacentral:rRNA from 1 species